UACGUAGGGACCAAGCGUUGUUCGGAUUUACUGGGCGUAAAGGGCGCGUAGGCGGCGUGGUAAGUCAGCUGUGAAAUCUCCGAGCUUAACUCGGAACGGUCAGCUGAUACUGCUGUGCUAGAGUACAGAAGGGGCAAUCGGAAUUCUUGGUGUAGCGGUGAAAUGCGUAGAUAUCAAGAGGAACACCUGAGGUGAAGACGGGUUGCUGGGCUGAUACUGACGCUGAUGCGCGAAAGCUAGGGUAGCAAACGGG
rnacentral:rRNA from 1 species